GUCCGCACGAGCGCAACCCUUAUCCUUAGUUGCCAGCGAUUCGGUCGGGAACUCUAGGGAGACGUGCCGGUGGAUAAACCGGAGGAAGGUGGGACGACGUCAAGUCAUCAUGGCCCUUACGAGUAGGGCGUACACACGUGCUACAAUGGUAUGUACAGAGGGAGGCAAGCUGGCGACAGUGAGCGGAUCUCUUAAAGCAUAUCGUAGUCCGGAUUGGAGUCUGCAACUCGACUCCAUGAAGUCGGAAUCGCUAGUAAUCGCAAAUCAGAAUGUUGCGGUGAAUACGUUCCCGGGCCUU
rnacentral:rRNA from 1 species